GAGGGGGAAACAGAGAGGACGGUUUUGGAAUGAAGAGGAAAGGGGCGAUGAGAGGAAUGGAAAAGUAACCCAUGCUAUCUGAUGGAGAGGAGAGGGUGGGGUAGAGAAUGCACUGGUGAGCCAAUGAAAGCCGCAAUCCAAAUAAGACUUCAAGUUGGUCAUUUUUUCCUGCCAGUAGAAUGUAGAAUAAAACCAGUGGAUUGGCAAAGGCUUGGAUCCAAACACUGCACUCCUAUUGGUGGACUUUUUUUUACAGUAAUAAUGACUGCAUGCAAAUGUUAUCCUAACAAUCUACAGCUAAACUGUCUUUAGUUUUACCAGCUAAAACUCGAGACAGGUUUUUACAAGGACACUGACACACACACACACAUGGUUUCCUGUACUAAGCCUGUCACUCUAAUAGUGUGAGGAGCUAUCUGAAGAAUUUAUUCUGUGAAAAGAAGUCUGGUCACAAAUUAACUUUUUUCACCCUUGACAAUUGGUGGCUGUGUCACGGGGUGACUAUGGGAGAACCAAAGUAUGGGGGGGGGUUUCCAGGGGAGGACUUACCUGGUGUACCAUGAUGGCUGCCUCCAGGGUCCCAGGGGAGAACUUACUUGGUGCACCAAGAUGGCUGCCUGCUGCUGCAAUCAAUACACAAGCACCCAUCAAACCUGAUGUGCUGUAGGUUUGCAGUGACUGGACUGUGUGGCAAUUGGGCCACAAGCUGUGUGUAGGUGUGUUUUAUAUACCUUCAGGUAUUGGACUGGCAAGGUUUUUUUGGCACAUGACAGAAUAGACUGGGAGAAGAGCUGGUUGUGGAGGGGACUGUGGUGGAGCCUGGAGGAACCGAAGCAGGACGGCGUUGACGGAUCAGAUGCCAUCAUUGUGCAGGCGGGCCGUAGCAACCUCCGGCUGACUCUGGGCCACAAUGGAGUCCUAAAGCAGUGACCAAGAGAAAGCAGACUGGACUCUACAUCUCCUGCCUGGACGACUGGACCUGCCUUUUGCUUUUCACCCCCCAUACCUAUUUUUGUAUUAAUAAAGGAAGUUAAUUUUUCUACUUUA